UACGUAGGUCCCGAGCGUUGUCCGGAUUUAUUGGGCGUAAAGCGAGCGCAGGUGGUUUAUUAAGUCUGGUGUAAAAGGCAGUGGCUCAACCAUUGUAUGCAUUGGAAACUGGUAGACUUGAGUGCAGGAGAGGAGAGUGGAAUUCCAUGUGUAGCGGUGAAAUGCGUAGAUAUCAGGAGGAACACCGGUGGCGAAGGCGGCCUGCUGGACUGCAACUGACGUUGAGGCCCGAAAGCGUGGGGAGCAAACAGG
rnacentral:rRNA from 1 species